GCACCUGUCUCCGGGCCUUCCCGAUGAGCCGCGCUUAGGGUCCGUGGGCUUCAGCUGCAUGAACCACGUUCCAGCAGUUCGGCCCUCCUGGCCCCAACGCGCCUUUGAAAUACGCGGACAGUGCGCUUUCCUUCUUGGCCCGAGCGGCGCUUCGCAAUGCGGGCUUGUGCACUCGUGAGGCCCGCGGACACCUCCCGCCCCUGCGCGGCGGAGCGCUCCGCCGGCUACCUGCUCCUCAGAAGUGGCCUGGAGGCUGGAUUUCCUUGGCCAUAUCUGGUCCCUGGGCUCUCGCCGACAAAGAAGCAUUGUCCGUACUGUCUGUGUGCCCAGAAAUGGGAAGCGGGUGUAAGGGGAGGCCAAACUUGACUUUCUUAGUGUCGCGAGGUGGGUCAGAGCGUUACAUUGACAUAAAACAGAUUAACAACAGAAAAACAUACAUCUCUUGAAUAUGUUUUACGUGAAAAAGACACAAAGAAAUGGCAAAACCCAAAUACUUUUGUGCUAGGCAGAACCAAGAGCGGCAGCUGUGGGAGAGUAAAGUGUGCGGGGAGGCUAAUGGAAGAUGGAACUGCUUGAACCACGUCUAGGUAGAAAUCUCCGCCUUGCUCGGCUCUGGUGCCGAGUGUUUCUUUGUUCCUGGUGUAGGGAGGCCAUGUUUUACAGGAGUUUUCUCUUGUUUCAUGAAGAAAAGGGGGCAGUUUAGAGCACUCUUCUGUUUUUCAAGUGCUUUUAGCUUAAAAUAAUCCUUAUGCCAGAGACAUAUUUUUGGGAUGGCAUACCCUGUCACCCUUCACGGGCUAUCUGAACAGAAUCUAACGUGGGAGGCAAAAAGUGGGAAUAAAACAGAAGAUUGAAUAUCAGCACAACUGUUUUCAUGCUUGGUAAAACCGUACCUUUACCAGGUUUUCUUUUUCCACUGAGGUACGUGUUCCAAUGGCCACUUCACCUCCUUGGAUCUCCAUGUAUUUCAUAUUUGGCUAAAACUAAGAAGGUAAUUUUGAAAGAGCCAUUGGUCUGAAUAUGGAAUCUAAGGCAAGUGACUUCUGUAAACCUCUCUCUUCUUGAAUGUGGUUAAAAACUCGAAACAGGCCGGGCGCGGUGGCUCACGCCAGUAAUCCCAGCACUUUGGGAGGCCGAAGCGGGCUGAUUGCUUGAGCCCAGCAGUUCGAGACCAGCCUGGCCAACAUGGCAAAACACCGUCUCUACAAAAGAAAAAUACAAAAAUUAGCCGAGCGUGGUGGUGGACGCCUGUUCAGCUACUCAGGAGGCCGAGGUAUGAGAAUCGCUUGAGCCUCGGAGGUCGAGGUUGCAGUGAGUGGAGAUUGCGCCAUUGCACUCCAGCCUGGGCGACAGAGCUAGACGCAGUCUCAAAAACCAAAAGCAAGCAAACCUGUGGGAACAAGUCCUAACUGAUGGGGAUGUGUCUGAAUUAGAUGAAGCAUAUAAAUUGCCUAGCAAACUGCCUGAUGUGGUACCUUAAGAAAGGCCUCAAUAAAUGUUAAUCUCUUCCCCUUGAUGAUUUAAGUUACACGGUUUAGAUUCAUAUUCAAUAUUGGUUUUUCUCUAGAUUUCUUCUAUUUUUACAUACAAAUAUGUGUUUCAUUUGUGACUUAGUGUUUCAUUUUUUAAUAACAAAAAUAAAAAUCUGGCAAGCAUU
rnacentral:lncRNA from 1 species